GUUUUCUUUUCCUGAUGCUUAGGAUCUCAGGGUGGUGCUCCACCCCCGGGUAUUUUUUCUUCUCCUGUUUACUCAAAUAUGCAGCAAAAUCUCCAAAAUUGCUUGCAAAAUAAAGUAACUUCUGAAGAACUAAAUAGCAUAAUUCAAAAUAUAAUGACGUGGGUUGUAGCUACAGUAACCAGUAUAUUAUAUCCAGCCAUCACAAAAUAUGAAGAAAGAGU